GGCGUCAGUCGGACCGUCGCGUUGCUCCCUUGAGGGGUAAUGAGGAAAGUCCGAACACCACAGGGCACCGUGCUUCCUAACAGGAAGGCUCGAACGUCGGUUCGAGACGGCAAGUGCAACAGAAAGCAAACCGCCGAUGGCCCUCGGGCACAGGCAACGGGUGAAAUGGUGGGGUAAGAGCCCACCGGCGUGUCGGGCAACCGAUGCGGCCAGGCAAACCCCACGGGGUGCAAAGCCAAGCAGCGCCGGCUUCCGGCUUGCCGGAAAUGAGCGGCCCGCUCAACGGCGCGGGUAGGCUGCUAGAGGCCGUCGGCGACGGCGGUCCCAGAUAGAUGGCGGUCCCCCGGGGAAACCCGCGAAUCUCCGGGCGACAGAAUUCGGCUUACAGACUGACGCUUUCC
rnacentral:RNase_P_RNA from 1 species